rnacentral:pre_miRNA from 1 species
GGACAAUGAGCAGAUAAUCUGCAUCCUGGGGUUUGAGACUCGGAACAAAUCGUGUCAUGCCUAACAAACCCUAGAAUGCAGAUUAUCCUCUCGUCGUUC